rnacentral:rRNA from 1 species
UACGGAGGGUGCAAGCGUUAUCCGGAUUCACUGGGUUUAAAGGGUGCGUAGGCGGGCAGGUAAGUCAGUGGUGAAAUCUUCGAGCUUAACUCGGAAACUGCCUUUGAUACUAUCUGUCUUGAAUAUGGUGGAGGUAAGCGGAACAUGUCAUGUAGCGGUGAAAUGCUUAGAUAUGACAUAGAACACCUAUUGCGAAGGCAGCUUACUACGCCUAUAUUGACGCUGAGGCACGAAAGCGUGGGGAUCAAACAGG